GACGUAGGAGACAAACGUUAUCCGGAGUUACUGGGCGUAAAGGGCGUGUAGGCGGUUUGUUAGGUCUGGCGUGAAAGCUCUCGGCUAAACCGGGAGAGGUCGUUGGAUACUGGCAAACUAGAGGACGGUAGAGGCGUGUGGAAUUCCGGGUGUAGUGGUGAAAUGCGUAGAGAUCCGGAGGAACACCAGUGGCGAAGGCGACACGCUGGGCCGUACCUGACGCUAAAGCGCGACAGCAUGGGGAGCAAACGGG
rnacentral:rRNA from 1 species